AAGAUUAAGCCAUGCAUGUCUAAGUAUAAACAAAUCUAUACUGUGAAACUGCGAAUGGCUCAUUAAAUCAGUUAUAGUUUAUUUGAUAAUACCUUACUACUUGGAUAACCGUAGUAAUUCUAGAGCUAAUACAUGCUAAAAAACCCGACUCUCGGAAGGGUUGUAUUUAUUAGAUAAAAAUCAAUGUCUUCGGACUCUUUGAUGAUUCAUAAUAACUUUUCGAAUCGCAU
rnacentral:rRNA from 1 species